AAUAAAUGAUGCCGUUGACUUUUUCUCACAUGAUUGACCAUUCGUCUUAUUCAAAAAAUUUACAUAAUUAUAAUUUAUUUUGUUAUGAGUUGUUUUCACUCAUAGUAUUUUAUGUGUGAUUUAUAUUUUAUACAUUUGCAUAAAAUUUUUGAAUAAAACGAAUGGUUAAACAUGUGAGAAAAAGUCAACGGCGUCAUCUAUU
rnacentral:pre_miRNA from 1 species